rnacentral:rRNA from 1 species
GAUGAACGCUGGCGGCGUGCCUAAUACAUGCAAGUCGAACGCAUUGUGGUUGAAAUGAUAUGAAGAACUUGUUCAGAUUUGAUUUUCAACAUUGCAAUGAGUGGCGAACGGGUGAGUAACACGUGGGAAACCUACCUCUUAGCAGGGGAUAACAUUUGGAAACAAAUGCUAAUACCGUAUAAUAAUUAAAACCGCAUGGUUUUAGUUUAAAAAGAUGGUCUUGCUAUCACUAAGAGAUGGUCCCGCGGUGUAUUAGUUAGUUGGUGAGGUAAUGGCUCACCAAGACAAUGAUACAUAGCCGAGUUGAGAGACUGACCGGCCACAAUGGGACUGAGACACGGCCCAUACUCCUACGGGAGGCAGCAGUAGGGAAUCUUCCACAAUGGACGAAAAGUCUGAUGGAGCAAACGCCGCGUGUGUGAUGAA